GCACAGCCCAUGCCAAACUUGGGUAAGUUGAAGGUCGCUGAACUACGUAACUUUGUUACUUCAUUGCAUAAUAACUACUACGCAGGAACCGGCGUGUUGGCAUAGCGAGGAUGAUCAACCAGAUACCCGAUAGGCAGCGAUGAGAGCUGUUCAUGGCACCGACACAGAGGACAGGUUGCAGUACAAGAUAGGAGCAUACAUCCUGCAAGCCCGGGCAAGCCAUAAUGAGUGGUUUCAAAUACAGCAACUGUACCACAACAGUGCAGCGCAGGAGAUCCUAUCGUCAGUGCCGCGUCGAGAAAUUAAAUAAAAAAGCGCUUACUCCUGG